rnacentral:rRNA from 1 species
AUUGAACGCUGGCGGCAGGCCUAACACAUGCAAGUCGAACGAGUGGCGGACGGGUGAGUAAUGUCUGGGAAACUGCCUGAUGGAGGGGGAUAACUACUGGAAACGGUAGCUACUCCCGCAUACCAUCGGAUGUUCCCAGAUGGGAUUAGCUAGUAGGUGGGGUAAAGGCUCACCUAGUCGACGAUCCCUAGCUGGUCUGAGAGGAUGACCAGCGACACUGGAACGGAGACACGGUCCAGACGCCGACGGGAGGCAGCAGUGGGGAAUAUUGCACAAUGGGGGCAAGCCUGAUGCAGCCAGGCCGCGUGUAUGAAGAAGGCCUUCGGGUUGUAAAGUACUUUCAGCGGGGAGGCGUUACCCGCAGAAGAAGCACCGGCUAACUCCGUGCCAGCCGCCGCGGUAAUAC